UACGAAGGGGGCGAGCGUUGUUCGGAUUUACUGGGCGUAAAGGGCGCGCAGGCGGCGCAUUUUGUCAGGCGUGAAAGCCCCGGGCUCAACCUGGGAAUUGCGGUUGAAACUGGCGAACUAGAAUCUGGCAGAGGGGGGUGGAAUUCCACGUGUAGCAGUGAAAUGCGUAGAGAUGUGGAGGAACACCGAUGGCGAAGGCAGCCCCCUGGGCUGAGAUUGACGCUCAGGCACGAAAGCGUGGGGAGCAAACAGG
rnacentral:rRNA from 1 species